AUACGGAGGGUCCAAGCGUUAUCCGGAUUCAUUGGGUUUAAAGGGUCCGCAGGCGGGAAAAUAAGUCAGUGGUGAAAGCCUACAGCUGAACUGUAGAACUGCCAUUGAUACUGUUUUUCUUGAGUAUAGAUGAAGUGGGCGGAAUAUAUCAUGUAGCGGUGAAAUGCAUAGAUAUGAUAUAGAACACCGAUUGCGAAGGCAGCUCACUAAACUAUUACUGACGCUCAGGGACGAAAGCGUGGGGAGCGAACAGGAUUAGAAACCCUAGUAGUCC
rnacentral:rRNA from 1 species